rnacentral:rRNA from 1 species
GACGAACGCUGGCGGCGUGCUUAACACAUGCAAGUCGAACGGAAAGGCCCUGCUUGCAGGGUGCUCGAGUGGCGAACGGGUGAGUAACACGUGGGUGAUCUGCCCCUUAUUUUGGGAUAAGCCUGGGAAACUGGGUCUAAUACUGGAUAGGACCAUGCUGUAGGUGGUGUGGUGGAAAGAUUAGUUUCGGUAAGGGAUGAGCUCGCGGCCUAUCAGCUUGUUGGUGGGGUAAUGGCCUACCAAGGCGUCGACGGGUAGCCGGCCUGAGAGGGUGGACGGCCACAUUGGGACUGAGAUACGGCCCAGACGCCUACGGGAGGCAGCAGUGGGGAAUAUUGCACAAUGGGCGCAAGCCUGAUGCAGCGACGCCGCGUGGGGGAUGACGGCCUUCGGGUUGUAAACUCCUUUCGGCCAUGACGAAGCCCUUGUGGUGACGGUAGUGGUAGAAGAAGCACCGGCUAACUACGUG